CCUGUGCUCACCUGCGCUUCGAUCGGGACUGCCGGUCCCUGCCCCGCUCCGGGGGGGCCUUGGCCUUGUCCCGGCCCUGCCUGCCCGGGCCCGGGCGGGGUUUGGGUCUGGCUGGGGAGAGUGAAGUCGGUGAACUCGAACUCGGAUCCCUGCGUGUCGGCGCCGAGCAGCUCGGCCUCCUCGGUGUCCAGGAAGGAUAAAGCCUGGAUCUGAAACAGCAUGUACCAGAUUUACAGCUGUUAGGCUGAAAAGAUCUAGAUGAAGACUGAAAAGCAUCCUUGUUUUAGGAAUUCUGUGCACCAAGCCCAGGAGAGGAAAGAACAAGUAAAGGGAACACAGGUUCAGUUGUGGCUAUAAAAAGUGUUACUGAAACAAGUCAUGGAUUGGGAACUUAAAACAGUGAAGGAAAAGGAGGAAAAGAUCUUGACAUUUCUUCAGUGAUCCUGAAUGAAGAAGGUGCUUAGACAUGAUGGUGAUGAGUGACAUAAACUGAUAAGAGAUGAAAGCCAGUAAAUGAAACUACCUAUAAACUCUAUGCUAUAAACUAGUUUUCUUUCACUAAGUGGAUACUAAAAGGCUAAUAAACUGUGAAAAGGUAAUAGAAUAUUAGAAUACUAAUUAAAACUACUUUAUUUCAGUAUUAAAUUUGAAAUCCUUCCUUCCAAACUGUAUUUGAAUCCUUUCUAACACCCGCUCCUUGAAAAUAGCUGAAGUGUGUGUUCAUCCUAAACAAUGCCACGUUAGCACAGAGUCAAUUCAAGGAACUCAUGUAGGGGAAAAGUCUUUUUAUGAACAAAGCUUCUGGCUUUCUGAAGGUUUCUGGUUGCAAAAGUGCUAUGUGAAGUGAUCUCUUUAACUGGCCACAGAAGUUAAACCGUGCUAGCUAAAAGGCAUGGUUUCUAAACUCCAAGAAAUAAAAUUGCUGGAAUUGAUGGAUACAUUCAAAAACAUAUUUAAGAGUAUCUGUUACCUAUUAAAUCUGUCUUGGGUAGGAGUUCUGUAAGGAGCAGACUUGUUAAAAAUCCUCAGUUUCUAAAGGGGCAUCAAAGUUUCUUUAAACUGGGCUUCUUCAAGACAGAUGUCAUUGUAGCUGAGUGUAAAACCAGCUAUUGAAGCCCUUGAUUGACUACAAAGAGUGUACAUGUUCCUUUGUUUUAAUUUCUGGCAGUUCUCCUGGGCAGAUGGAGAAGCACUGAGGUUAUUUCAGUGUAAUGUAAAAUCCAGUGCUUCACAAAGGGUUUGAUGUGUGUUUGGAUCUCAUGGAGUUGUGUUCCUCCCUCUGGUUUAGUGAGGAAAAUAGGAGAGUGGUGAGCUUUCAGGUUGUCCCUGGAGGCUCAUUUAAAUGUAUAAAUACUUUUAAGUUUUAGCAACACAACUUCUGAUGUGGGAGAAGCUUGCUUUCUUCUCAGAGCAUUCCUGCUUUACAGACAUGCUUUAACCUUGGGGGAAGGUGGCAAACACAGGGUUAAAUAAGAGG